GAUGAACGCUGGCGGCGUGCUUAACACAUGCAAGUCGAACGGAAAGGCUCCUGCUUGCCGGGGUACUCGAUUGGCGAACGGGUGAGUAACACGUGGGUGAACUGCCCUGCACUUCGGGAUAAGCCUGGGAAACUGGGUCUAAUACCGGAUAGGACGAUGGUUUGGAUGCCAUUGUGGAAAGUUUUUCGGUGUGGGAUGAGCUCGCGGCCUAUCAGUUUGUUGGUUGGGUAAUGGCCUACCAAGGCGCCGACGGGUAGCCGGCCUGAGAGGGUGUACGGGCACCAUGGGCCUGAGGUAGGGACCAGACUCGUACCGGAGGCAGCAGUGGAGAGUAUUGCGGAGUGAGGGCGAGCCUGAUACAGCGGCGCCGCGUGGGGGAUAAUGGCCUUCGGGUUGUAAACUACUUUGGCUGGGGACGAAGCGCAAGUGACGGUACCUGGAGAGGAAGCACCGGUUAACUACGUG
rnacentral:rRNA from 1 species